UCCAGGACCCCUGCCAUGACGUCAUCAUCUUCAUCGAGGGUCUUGCUGCGGCAGCAGCUCUUGUGGGCUCAGGCACAAGAGCAAGAGAGGCGAGAGCAUCAGGACCAAGCCGCAGCCGCUCCUUUCCCCAGCCCUGCAUCUUUGUGGUUGGCCUCUCUGCCGGGGGCCACACCUUGAGCCGUCCACCACCUGCUCAAGUGCCAAGGGAGGUAUUCAAGGUUCAGACCCACCUGGAGAACCCAGCACGCUACCAUCUGCAGCAAGCACGCCGGCAGCAAGUGAAACAGUACCUGUCCGCCACACUUGGGUCCAAGCUGGCUUCCCAGGCCCUCACUCCACCGCCGGGGUCCAUGAGUGCCCAGCCACUGCCUGCUCUUGAGGCUGCCGGUGCCAUUGGGCUCACAGGCAGUGCUCCUAACAGCCCCAUGGCACUGCUCACCAUUGGGUCCAGCUCAGAGAAGGAGACUGAUGAUGUCAUUGAUGAGAUCAUCAGUCUGGAGUCCUGUUACAAUGAUGAGAUGCUCAGCUAUCUGCCUGGAGGCACCCCAGGGCUGCAGCUCCCCAGCAUGCUGCCUUGUCAGGGAACCUGCUUGAUGUGUACAGUAGUCAGGGUGUGGCCACAUCAGCCAUCAUAUCAGCAACUCCUGCCCAGCCGAGCUGCCCAACAUCAAAUGGGAAAUCUCUGAAACCGAGGCAAAAGCCCUCUUGAAGGGGCAGCAGAAGAAAGACAGUCACAACCUGAUUGAGCGUCGCAGGUGAUUCAACAUAAACGAUAGGAUCGAGGAGCUUGGCACCCUCAUCCCCAAGUACAAUGCCCCAGAGAUGCGCUGGAACAAGGGCACCAUCCUGAAGGCCUCUAUGGAUUAUAUCCAAAAGUUGCAGAAGGAGCAGUAGCGCUCCAAGGAUCUGGGGAGCCGGCAGAGAUCUCUGGAGCAAGCCAACCGAAGCCUGCAUCUCUGGAUUCAGGAGCUAGAACUGCAGACCCAGAUCCACAGUCUGCCAGGGCCUCCCACCCCAGGGCUACUCUCUCUGGCCACAAGCUUGGCCUCCGACAGCCUCAAGCCAGAGCAGCUGGACAUUGAGGAGGAGGGCAGGCCAAGCACAGCAACAUUUCAUGUAGCAGUGGGACCUGUCCAGAAUGCUCCUCAGCAGCAGCCCCCAGCACCACCUUCGGAUGCGCUUCUGGACCUGCACUUUCCCAGCGACCACCUGUGGGACCUGGGAGACCCUUUCCACCUGGGGCUGGAGGACAUUCUAAUGGAGGAAGAAGAGAGGGUGGUGGGAGGAUUGUCAGGCGGUGCCCUGUCCCCACCGCAGGAUGCCUCUGACCCCCUGCUAUCUUCGGUAUCCCCAGCUGUCUCCAAGGCCAGCAGCUGUCGUAGCAGCUUCAGCAUGGAGGAGGAGUCCUGAUCAGGCUUUACCCCUCCCCUGGGGCUUCC